ensembl:misc_RNA Y_RNA Y RNA
GGCUGGUCUGAGUGCAGUGGUGUUUACAACUAAUUGAUCACAACCAGUUACAGGUCUUUCUGUUCCUUCUCCACUCCACUACUUCACUUGACUAGCCUAAA